rnacentral:rRNA from 1 species
UACGUAGGUGGCAAGCGUUGUCCGGAUUUAUUGGGUUUAAAGGGCGCGUAGGCGGCCCUGUAAGUCAUUGGUGAAAUACUCUAGCUUAACUAGAGGGGUGCCAAUGAUACUGCAGGGCUUGAGUACAGAUGAGGUAGGCGGAAUUGACGGUGUAGCGGUGAAAUGCAUAGAUAUCGUCAAGAACACCGAUAGCGAAGGCAGCUUACUGGGCUGUAACUGACGCUGAUGCACGAAAGUGUGGGGAUCGAACAGG